AGUGAACGCUGGCGGUAGGCCUAACACAUGCAAGUCGAACGGCAGCACAGUAAGAGCUUGCUCUUACGGGUGGCGAGUGGCGGACGGGUGAGGAAUACAUCGGAAUCUACUUUCUCGUGGGGGAUAACGUAGGGAAACUUACGCUAAUACCGCAUACGACCUACGGGUGAAAGCAGGGGAUCUUCGGACCUUGCGCGAUUGAAUGGGCCGAUGUCGGAUUAGCUAGUUGGCGGGGUAAAGGCCCACCAAGGCGACGAUCCGUAGCUGGUCUGAGAGGAUGAUCAGCCACACUGGAACUGAGACACGGUCCAGACUCCUACGGGAGGCAGCAGUGGGGAAUAUUGGACAAUGGGCGCAAGCCUGAUCCAGCCAUACCGCGUGGGUGAAGAAGGCCUUCGGGUUGUAAAGCCCUUUUGUUGGGAAAGAAAAGCAGCAGGUUAAUACCCCGCUGUUCUGACGGUACCCAAAGAAUAAGCACCGGCUAACUUCGUG
rnacentral:rRNA from 1 species